UUUCACCCAUUCUCCCUUUUUCCUACAAAAAUUACUCAUUUUCACAUGUUGCCUCUUCCUCUAAGUGACUAUAUGUACCACUGCCUGACCAACUUAUUUGUUAAUAGUGACAUCCCAGAGGUGAAAGGCUUUCUGCAACGGUACGAUGGAGUCGGACCUAUUGAGAGGAUAGAAGCUGCAAACACACAGUCGAGAUUUACCAAUCCAUCUGACUUUUUCAAGGACUGCAGUCAUGUGCCAUUAGUUGAUUACAUGACGCAUAAACCGGAAAUGGUUGAUCGUUCAUAGUAUCAAUUAUUGGGAAUAAAUAAAUAAGCCUUCACAUAUGUAGCGCCCCAACAUGCUAACUACAUUACAGUUGGACAUAGUUCCGUCAAGGAUUCUAUAUCUUUCAUGGGUUAUAUUUUAAGCACCACGGAAAGUCCUCAUGGUAAUCGGUUCAAGUGCAAUUGCAGAUGAUCCUGAAUCUACAAGUGUUUGCUUAACAAGUUGCAAAUGUGAUCAUUUCGUAUCAAUAAAAUUAAAGAGUAGUAUGUGGUGACGAGGAGUAUUAAGUUGUGUUGGAGUACUUGCUUUAUUCAAAAUGGCUUUCGUUUUCUAUUUA